rnacentral:lncRNA from 1 species
UAAAGCAAACAAUACUAAUAGUGUUAUAAUUUAAUGAAUUUACCAAAAAAUGUAGGUUUAAAUACAAAAUGAAGUAAAUUAAUGUGGCGAAAAAUAAAUAAAAAAUUUCCACAUUUCUUCACUUCAACUACAUAAUUCAUCAAAAUCAACAACCAUAUAAUAUAAUCACCAAGUAAAACACUUCAAAUAUUAUUCACGCUACAAUCACUCAAAAACUUCCAAUAAUAACUCAGACACAAAUUACACGACAAAGAAAAAAAAACACAUAGCAAAACCAGCAUCAAAUAAAUCUUUUAAAAAAAAAAAAAACAGCGUAGGUCAAAUAAACGUCAAACACCGGCCACUAACCACCGUCAGCGCCGCCAUCGCCACCACCGUGAGUACUGCCGCCCAUCUCGGACGCGUGGUGGGCCGCAGCAACUGCUCCAGCUGCCGCUGCUGCUGCCGCCACAGCGCCUGCUCCAGUUACGGCAGCUCCGGCGCUGUCAAAUCCAGCAUGGAUGUCGUCGUCAGGCGGUGAUCCGCCGCUGCUACGCUUCCGGUUUCCUCUUUUGACAGCUGUCAUUGCGCUGGAUCCAUCUUCAUCAUCAGAUUCCUUCUUUUUAGCUCUACAGAUUGUGAAGCAAAAGCAGAUUUUUCUGCUCCACAUCUUUAUAGCAAUGCGUUUAUUCUAUGCACAUGUUCUCGUUAGCUUUUGAAGUGAAUGGAUCAUAUAUAUAGAGUGUUUGCAAUGCACCUNUUUUUUUGGCAAU